rnacentral:rRNA from 1 species
UAGGGAAUCUUCCGCAAUGGACGCAAGUCUGACGGAGCAACGCCGCGUGAGUGAAGAAGGAUUUCGGUUCGUAAAACUCUGUUGUUAGAGAAGAACAGCGCAUAGAGUAACUGUUAUGCGUGUGACGGUAUCUAACCAGAAAGCCACGGCUAACUACGUGCCAGCAGCCGCGGUAAUACGUAGGUGGCAAGCGUUGUCCGGAUUUAUUGGGCGUAAAGCGAGCGCAGGCGGUCAAUUAAGUCUGAUGUGAAAGCCCCCGGCUCAACCGGGGAGGGUCAUUGGAAACUGGUUGCCUUGAGUGCAGAAGAGGAGAGUGGAAUUCCAUGUGUAGCGGUGAAAUGCGUAGAUAUAUGGAGGAACACCAGUGGCGAAGGCGACUCUCUGGUCUGUAACUGACGCUGAGGCUCGAAAGCGUGGGUAGCAAACAGG